GCCUGGGUAGCUCAGUUGGUUAAGCAUCUGACUUCGGCUCAGGUCAUGAUCUCACAGGUUUGUGGGUUCAAGCCCUGCAUCAGGCU
rnacentral:tRNA from 1 species